AGAGUUUGAUCCUGGCUCAGAAUGAACGUUGGCGGCGUGGAUUAGGCAUGCAAGUCGCACGAGACACCAAUUAGCUUGCUAAGAGGUAGACAGUGGCGAAAGGGAGAGUAACGCGUGGUUACUUGCCCUCGAGACCGGGAUAGUGUCGGGAAACUGGCAGUAAUACCGGAUAACAUCUUCGGAUCAAAUGGUGUGAUUCCGCUCGAGGAUAGGACCGCGUACUAUUAGCUUGUUGGUGAGGUAACGGCUCACCAAGGCUGCGAUGGUUACCGGGUGUGAGAGCAUGGCCCGGCUCACUGGGACUGAGACACUGCCCAGACACCUACGGGUGGCUGCAGUCGAGAAUCUUCGGCAAUGGACGAAAGUCUGACCGAGCGACGCCGCGUGCGGGAUGAAGGCCCUCGGGUUGUAAACCGCUGUCAGUAGUUAGGAAAUCCAUGAGGGUUAUCUCUCAUGGUUGACCGAUCUUCAGAGGAAGGACGGGCUAAGUUCGUGCCAGCAGCCGCGGUAAGACGAACCGUCCAAACGUUAUUCGGUAUCACUGGGCUUAAAGCGUGCGUAGGCGGCUUGGUAGGUGAGAUGUGAAAGCCCACGGCUCAACCGUGGAAUUGCGUUUCAAACCCCCAAGCUCGAGGAAGAUAGGGGUGAUGGGAACUUAUGGUGGAGCGGUGAAAUGCGUUGAUAUCAUAGGGAACACCGGUGGCGAAAGCGCAUCACUGGAUCUUUUCUGACGCUGAGG
rnacentral:rRNA from 1 species